CAUAUUAUAGUUUAAUAUAAAACUAUGAAUUGCAAAUUCACAAAAGAAUAAAUCAUUCUAAUAUGU
rnacentral:tRNA from 1 species